GGCAGGAGACAGGAGAAGAGGGGAGAGGAGGGGAAAGGAAGAGCCUCCUGUGAAUUGGGUGCACCAAUGCUCAGCAGAGGGCACUGAAACCUUGGGUAACUAGGCUAACAGAAGGUUUUAAGCUGACUGAAGAGGAUGCCUGGGAACAAAACUGCCCUCUAGAAGGGAAGGAAGCAAGCUCUGAGCCAUCUCUCCAGCUCUUCAUUCCUCUUGAAAUUCUUUGCUCUGGAUGAGGAUAAGAAGAUGAGGGGCAAAGAAGGGGAGGAGAAGAAAGAAGGAGGAAGAGAGGCUUGAAACCCCCAUCUGAGUUUUAAGCUGUGUGUUGAUAAUUUCUACAAAUGUAGUGUGUGAGAGUGGCUUUCAGGCUAGCCACUGCAAAGACUAGUAAGGCCACUCUCUUGCUCCCUGCAUUGUGCAUCUGAUGCUCCGUUCUCAGGACUCAGUAUCACAAGGCCAUCAGACAAAGACAGCUGAGCUGUCCUCAGCUUGAAGUGUAUAUUCUGAAGGAUGUCAGUACACACUUAAAUGGUAGUGAAUGAAUUUUCCAGACUAUGGUCUCACAUGUGAAUUUAACCCUGAGAAAAAUCACAGCCCUUUAAGAGAAUUGAAGUUUUUCAAGUCAAUUACAUCACUGGAAUUUAAACACCAUUUUGCAUUUGUGAUUCACAGAAAUUCCAUCUCUGACACACAUUUGCCUUGCAUGCCCUCCUUUGACAUCAUGGUUGAUACCCUCAAGAAUUCUUAUUUCUGCAAAAUAAGAAUCACAUGACUGGCCUCAAAGUCGUCCACCAGCACAAAGUGUCCUUGGACAAGCUUGAACCAGCUUCAUGGACGUGGAACAUAAAAUUAGCUAUCACAAGUCCACUUUGUCUAGUACCUUGUGACUCUUAUUAAGGGGAAUUUAGUCUCUAAAGUUAAAAAUCAAACAACAACUGUGCUUCAUCUUCACCAGAAAAGGAAGCAAAAUCCUAGAGGGAUGGUGACCACUCUCUUUGCAUCCCAUAACCUGCAUACCAUGACAUAGGAUUAAUAGUAUUUCACUACUAAAGUAACAUCAAUACAUCUUAUAUUUCAUGAUAAAAUAAGGAGAAAACAAAAGAAAGUUAUUCACUCAAUGUACUUUAGGUUUGUUCACAGACAAUACUCACAAUGCCAUACUCACAUGGUCAUAGCCACCUUUUACAACUCACUUCUUUUACUGUUUAAGAAUAGGGAAAGAUGUUUGCAUAACCUAAGCAGUCUUGUUGAGGCAUGUUCCAUCAGUGACCUAUCAUUGUAUCCAGCCUCUCUUGCAGUGUGAUUGAAUAACUUGCCAAAACUGUGAGAAAUCCCCUCCUAAGACCAAGUUCCUCCUCUGGAAGUUCCCAAUGCCUCAGACUUCUGCUUCUCUAUAUUAUGGGAUUUCUAAGGAAGUUUAAUUGUUUGUAUAUUUUGUUUCAGUGGUAUGGUACCUGAUGCAAAGGUCACCUGGUGUUUUUCUUCAGAAAAAUCUCCUUUUCUUGUAAGGAACAAGGAACACUGAGAAUAAUCCAAUUGAACAACAAUACUAGAAAGAUUCCAGUUAAAAUAACUUAACUGUAUCUGUCAUACUCACCUACACUCUUAGAUCAUACUUCUUAAAAUAAAGUUCCCUGCUAUAAGGUCACACAUGAUGAUGAAUGGAAAUCUGCACAGAGCGACACCCAGAAAAUCAUGUGUAUGCUUCUGUGUGGGAACCAAAUGGGGGGACAGCACUCAGGCACCUAGAUCUAUUAGGUACUAUGCAAGCCAACUACAGGCAAAAUCAAGCACAAGACAGAAGCAGGGGUAAUACUAUGCCUUCAUAUGGAAUGUUCUGAGGUAUAAAAUGGUAACUUAUCAACGGAAUGAAUGAGGGGGAGGUAAAACUCAGAAUGAUAAGUGUUGACUCCAAGCCAGGCCUACCCCCACCUCAGAGGCUGAACCAGGAGAAUCAGUGUUCAAGGCCUGCCUAAACUACAGAGUGAGCACAAGACUAGCAUGUGCAACUUAGUGAAGCCUUUCUUGAAUAUAAAAGAGGACUUUGCCUGAUGCAAGUACCUAGUGCUAUAGGCACUUUUGUUUCUCAAAUAAAUAUAUGCUCCUCUUCUGGCCUGAAGCAUACAACAGAAGAAGCAGAUUCAUUUGACUACUGGAAAUUUCUUCAACAGCUAAAAUAACAAAGAUGAGAAAAUCAGAAACCUAGUAUUAACUGAGUCUUUGCAAAACAUAUAUAAUCUACUUCGAUUUAAUAACUACCGCAGGAAGAUGGAUGAAACUAGGGCUACAUUCAGAAAGAUAAGUCUCAAAUGUUCAUCUAUAGAACCAAGAGAGAAAUGAAAGACUACAAACAUGAGUACAGUAAGGGGUCUAUCAGAAAGCACAAGGUAUUAUGAUGGGGAAACUCUGUUAACCAAUCACAGCUAAAUGGGGUGUGGCGACCUGGAACCCAGGAAGAAAAACCGAGAGAUCCAAGUGCCCACCAGACCGACUGGAAUUCGGACCUCCCACUCUUGUAGCAUGAGUUUCCCCUUUUCAACUAUUAAAAUAUAACUGUUAUUCUUGA